rnacentral:rRNA from 1 species
GUUGAACGCUGGCGGCAUGCCUAAUACAUGCAAGUCGAGCGAACGGACGAGACUCUCGCUUCGCUGCAGUUACCGGCGGACGGGUGAUUCCUACGAAGAUACCCUACCUAUAGGACUGAGGUCACUUCAGGAGAGCUGAUAUCACAUAGGUCGAUAUUUUGAACCGCAUGGAUCUUCAGAGCACGCCGGAUCUGCUGAGCCUAGUAGAUGGUACCAGGUUGGAUUAGCUAGUUGGUACGGUAACGGCCUACCAAGGCGACGAUGCGUAGCCGACCUGAGAGGAUGAUCAGUCACACUGGAACUGAGACACGGUCCAGACUCCUACGGGAGGCAGCAGUAGGGAAUCUUCCGCAAUGGGCGAAAGCCUGACGCAGCAACGCCGCGUGUGUGAUGAAGGUCUUCGGAUCGUAAAGCACUGUUAGUUGGGAGGAACAUAUGUAUGUUAAACUGUGCACAUCUUGACGGUACCUACACAGAAAGCCACGGCUAACUACGUG